GCCAAGUGUGGUGGCGUACACCCUUAAUCUCAGUUACUCGGGAGGCUUGAGUCCAGCAGUUCUGGGCUGUAGUGCGCAAUUCCAAUCUGGUGUCCACACUAAGUUCAUCAUCAUAUGGUGACCUCCCGGGAGGGGGGCACCACCAGGUUGCCUAAGGAGAGGUGAACCGGCCCAGGUUGGAAAGGGAGCAGGUCAAAACUCCUGUGCUGAAUAGAAAGAAAGGGAGGGAGGGGGGACCUGAUAGGACGCUACUGUAUAUAU
rnacentral:SRP_RNA from 1 species